GAAGGGGCAGAGAUGAGGAAACGGCCCGGAGCUGGGAGAAGUCACGGUGGGCGGGGCCAAGGGGCAGAGCAGUCCCGCGUUGACCUGUGUUUAGGGACCCCCCUCCUCUCCAGACCUCACCGGGGUAUCGCCCCACCCCCUGCACGGCUGGCGUGUGACAAGGCUUGAACUUCGGGCAAAGCUUCUGCUUUCCCAGAAUUACCCGGGUUGCUAGGAAGCAGGCAGGGCCCUAGUGGCCAUGAAACUCUUGUCCUGUAGCCCUGUAAGGGAUGCAAACUGGACACGCCCCCUCCUCGCCUUCCUUUACCGUAGUCCGUUUUUCCCGCGUGAGCUGCCAGGUGAAUCCUGACCUACAGGGUCCCAGUCCGGGAGAGGCAGGUCCCUAAACUGGGGACUCCUUCCCAGGGAGGAGAAAUUCCCUUUCACAACACCAGAGGGCGCAGUCGCCACUCUCACGGGAGCCCUGCCCAGCCUUUAACCUCUUGGCUCUGGAUUCACUCCCCGGCCCUUCCAGGCCCCACCUGGGGCCUGGGGCCUGGGCUACAGCAGAAGCGGCCGGGGGGGGGGGCUCCGUGAGGCGCAGGUGUUCACCAGAUACCUCACGGUUCCGCAGGGCCAGAUCCUGAAUCCCAGACUUUGGGCCUGCCUGGGGCUCCCCUGAGAGGAAACCCCGAAGCCUGAGGAGCUCUAUACCUGUGUUUUAAAAAUCGCAACUCCAGGCCACCUCCUCCUGAAAGCCUUUCUGGAUUAUGCCAGACUGCACCCGUCUACACAGUCUGGAGUGCAGCUGGAUUGGGGGAAAGACAUCUGAAUUUCCAGGCUUCGACUCUUCCCUAGGUCCCUGAAUUAUCAAAGAAUUCCGCGGGAUGGUUCUGUGGUUUUCACAGCAGAUUAUCUGGGUCCUUGUUUACUUUUGGGCUCUUCCCUCUGACUCAGGGCCCAGACUUUCUGGGAACGGAGGGGAAAGGGAGGGGUAGCACGCGGCGAGCUGACUAUGGGGUUAUUUCUGACCCUGGAGUCAUCAGCUUCCCAGUCACAGACAGACUGGAGCGGGGUGAGGGGGUGGGGUGGGGGGGGGUGUCAUGCCUCCCUCUUCUUGGCCUCCCAGAACCCAAGGUGCUUAGCAGGCUCCGGAGAUCCUGACAUUUAGACCAGGAAGGUGAGGGGUGUCAGGGGGACCAUCCAGAGCACACAUGAAGGAAGCCUUUUGCCCAGGCUCUGGGUCUAAGGCCGUGCAGGUGCAUCCUGUUACCUGGCAGCAAAGGUCUUCCUUCUGACAUCCUGGAUGCCCUCUGGUGCCAGGGAUCGACCCAGGCCCUGCUCACUUUUUCCACUGAGUCAGCGUGAGUCAUGCUGCACUAACCUGGGGGCAGAGAGAGGGGCAUCUGGGGACCCCUUCUCUUACAUCCACUCCCUCUUUUGGCUUCCCCUGU